AAAAAAAAAGGAAAAAA
rnacentral:sRNA from 1 species